rnacentral:rRNA from 1 species
UACAGAGGGGGGCAAGCGUUGUUCGGAAUUACUGGGCGUAAAGGGCGCGUAGGCGGCCUGCUAAGUCGAACGUGAAAUCCCUGGGCUCAACCCAGGAACUGCGUCCGAUACUGGUAGGCUUGAAUCCGGGAGAGGGAUGUGAGUACUACGUGAGUAGCGGUGAAAUGCGUAGAUAUCUGGAGGAACACCGGUGGCGAAGGCGACAUCCUGGACCGGCAUUGACGCUGAGGCGCGAAAGCCAGGGGAGCAAACGGG